UCCUGCUCUGGAGACAAGGAAACAAGAGAGGAGAGGGGGAGGCCUGAGACAGCAGCAACAAUUGAGGCCUCUCGAAAGAGCAAGGUACUUAAUCUUUCAUCCUGUGAUAGUCAAGAAGAAUCUUACAAGCAUCUGACUCUUUUUACUCACUUGCCAGUAGCUCUUCACAUAUUUCUGGAAUUUGUGAUCCUGCAAAGUCCUCAGUUUGGUCCUACUUUUGGGAAAGAGAGAGCUGUGCCCAAGUGGGCUGGGGUGGUAGUGGGGAUGAGGCAGCAAUUUACUACGGCGAUCAGAUU